UUUUUGAUUUUCUGGCUUUAUUGAAAGUGGACUAUUGAAGUCUCCUACUAUUAUUAUUAUUAUGGAAAUGGAGUCCUGCUUUGUCACCCAGGCUGGAGUGCAGUGGCAAAAUCUCGGCUCACUGAAACCUCCUCCUCCCGGGUUCGAGUGAUUCUCCUCCCUCAGCCUCCUGAGUAGCUGAGAUUACAGGUCACAGAAUUUUCCACACUCCUUGACAGAGCCCCCAUGUGUCACACAGACUCAGCCUCAGGUAGAUGGUUUCCGUAGAUGGUGGCUUUCUUUGGACCCUUGACAUCAACCAGUUACUAUUUGACUCUUCUGCAGAACCCCAUGUUGACCCCUGCUUUGAGGUGGCAGAGUUAACACUACUCUUCGUUAUAAGCUCUCGUCUGGGGCAACUCAGAAGAACGGGACCAGAUGUGCAGAGGUAAUGAAUACCAGGGAAUCAGGAAACCACUGGAUCAGUUCUUUGAGCCACAGAACAACACUCAUCCCAGCAGCUGGGAAGCUAUCUGCAAAAGUCCAUCUGCAGAAAGGGCUUCCUGGUCUUGCGUGUGGCUGGGCCAUUUCUCUGGAUGCAGGUUUUUCAUUAUACAGUCUUCUCAAAGAACCACCUGCUCUCAA
rnacentral:lncRNA from 1 species